GACGAACGCUGGCGGCGUGCUUAACACAUGCAAGUCGAACGGUGAAGCUCCAGCUUGCUGGAGUGGAUCAGUGGCGAACGGGUGAGUAACACGUGAGCAACCUGCCCCUGACUCUGGAAUAAGCGCUGGAAACGGCGUCUAAUACUGGAUACGAGAAGGGUCCGCAUGGGCACUUUCUGGAAAGUUUUUCGGUUGGGGAUGGGCUCGCGGCCUAUCAGCUUGUUGGUGAGGUAAUGGCGCACCAAGGCGACGACGGGUAGCCGGCCUGAGAGGGCGACCGGCCACACUGGGACUGAGACACGGCCCAGACUCCUACGGGAGGCAGCAGUGGGGAAUAUUGCACAAUGGGCGAAAGCCUGAUGCAGCGACGCCGCGUGAGGGAUGACGGCCUUCGGGUUGUAAACCUCUUUCAGCAGGGAAGAAGCGAAAGUGACGGUACCUGCAGAAGAAGCACCGGCUAACUACGUG
rnacentral:rRNA from 1 species